AUAAUAUGAAGAUAACCAAAGAGCAAUAAAGAAGAGAGAAAGAACAGGAAAGUGACGAAAGAUUCCUCCAGUAAACGAUCUGUGUGCCCUUCUUUUACAUUUCUUUAUCUUUAUUUUAUCUUUAUUGAGUACACGUUACAUGAAGAACUAAGGAAUGAUAAACUAGAUCUGAAUAAUUGAUAUUUCCCUUAGUUUCAUCUCUCGUUCUCCCUUUCUUAUUUAUCUUUAUUUUAGAAUUAUUAAGUA
rnacentral:ribozyme from 14 species